GUCUGCAGUAUGCUGUUGCCAGAAGAGGAUGUCUGUGUUGAGCAGGGUGCUCAGCUCUCCACGAGAUGCUAUCUACUGAGGUUAAAGACUUUUUGAAGUAAAGAGGAGCAUCUCAUCUGAAACUGAUGUCUAUCAUGGAUAUUUAACUGAAGUUCUGUGAGUAUCCCAACUUAACCAUGAAGAUGAACUGCAAACUGUAAGUCAUUAAUUUCUCAUUACUCUUGGGCACAUUGAUGUAUUUUUGCUUCCUGAUGAGUUAACCCGUUACCUAAAGGUUGAUCUGAGUAGUAAGGAUGUUUUAUUGGUUCAUUGGUUUCUUAGGUGUUUGGUUUAUGUUGGUUUUAAUGAUUUGUUAAAAUGGUUACGAGAUCCAAGUUAUUGUUGUAAGCUGGAGUAAUGGGUUGGGUUCUGAUGUCUUAAGUCUUCUUUCCAGCUACUCUCCUGAGCUCUGCAUCUUCAACACACGAGUGUUGCUUUACUGAUGAGGGUGUGGUCUGAGUGAGCGGAGGUGCAUACUGGGAUACAGAGCUGUCUGAAUUCUACAGGUCUGUAGGCACGCCCCCUCAGGGGAAACCAAGUGUUUCAGAAACCGUCGUGACGUCAGUUACAUGGACUAGAAUGUUCUCUAAGAUGGAGACGGGAUUCAGAAGGAGAAACGCCAGGGGGAGAUGAGGGGGCUCCUCAUCUCGACAGCUGAAACACAACUUCAGUCUGACAGAGAGAACCAUGGAACACAUUCAACAGUCCUCCAGGCAUCGUGACUCCUCAGGAAAAGUUUCAUUUCCAAGAAGGUCUUAUUUGGGGCCAUCCCCAUAUGGAUCCUGCUCCUCAAGAGCCAACCACCCUCCACUGAGUGGUCUUCUGAAGAGAUGACUUCCUUCCUGUCCUCAGGCUGAUUAAAGCUGCACCGUUUGCAUCUGUGAAUGCCCCUUAUUCAGGAAACCACUGGACUACAAAGACAUGACUUCAGAAACAUUGAAUCAACCUGGGACACAUUUUGGAGACGCCAAGCAUAAUCCAUCACCAAUGUGGGACGCCACUGAAAAAUGUUGCACAUAAUUUACUUCUCUGGAGAUAUUGGUUGUUCUGUUCUGGGUGCCCUGGCAGGAGAGCUGGGGUUGGAUGAUGGAACGUUAUUUGGCAUGAGGUUUUUACCCUGCAUGAUUGUUGGCCUUUUAUGGCUCAGUGGUGUGUGUGUGUGUGUGUGUGUGUGUUUGGGUUUGACAUGAGAUGGAUGAUUUUUCAUCGCUAGGGUUCUACUGUGUGUGUGUGUGUCUCCCACUCACACCUGGCAUGGGGUUCUACGUGCCUGUCCUGGGUUCUAUGCGUGUGUCUGUGUCCGGCUUGCUUUGACAGUGAUAAUGUUCGUACGGGGGGUCUGUGUGAUUGGCUUGGGAUAUUGGAGUGGUCAAAUAAAUCAUACCUGAUGGACGGCCACACGUUUACUUAAGGACCUCCAGCAGAAAUGAGCCCAGAGCGACGCUGCGGAGCGAUAUCCAACACACUGGGCAGGAAGGAGGGUAUCCAACUCAAGUGUAAAAGGAUGCAAGCGGCGUGUUCAGAUCAGUGACUUCAAACUAGGACUACACCAAUCAGGAUCAAUGGAGGAUGGACACCUAAAUUCCACAAGGAGUCUGACGUUGGAAAGGGACCUAAAUGGAUAUUCAAGAUGACCUUCAGACCUGUAAUGAGACAGCUCUUCCUACCUGGCUGGAUUGAUGGAGAGCCCUGUGGAUCUUGUCUUGAUCUCAGUUGCACGUCUUCUCAGGCUGAACUCUAAUUGUCUCGGACAGGACUAGCUGAACGAUUGGUUCCCUUAAAUCAGAACCAAUCCGGGAACUCCAGCAAGUGCACUCUUCGAGCUGAAGUUGUGCUCUUCAGCUGAGGAGCUAAGGAAACCUUCACUGGGGCUUCAAGAUGUAAAGAGGAGAAUGUUUCAAAGUGUUCCAUGGUACUCUGAUGAAGACCGUUGGUGUGUUCCACUGGCUGAGAGGAAGAACCCACACAUCUUCCUCUUGGCCUUUCUCCUCUCAGAAUCCUGGCGCCAUCUUGAAGGAUAUUCCAGCUCAUGUAACUGAUGUCACGACAUAUUCACAAACACUUGGUUUCUCCUGAGGGGCGUUUCUAUAGAACUGAAGACUUCAGACAGCACUGUAUCCCAGCAUGCAUCUCUGCUCACUCAGACCACACCCCCAUGAGUAGGAUGCAACACUCUAGUGAUGGAGAUGUAGUGUUUUAUAAGUAACGAGGGAGCAGACUAAGGGGAUUAGAACACAAUGGCAUGUUAAGUCUGUAAAUCUUUAAACCAUGAAGAUGGUUGGAAAAGUCAGGAAUUAGGCUUAUUUUUGAUAUGGGCAGUCCUUUCACUCGGAUGCUCACUUCUUACUGGAAAUGUACAUGCGUUGGCUGGCUGGCAUGAUUUGCUGUUGGUGAUGAGGUGGUCAGGGUGACGUUGCAGGGCUAUGGUCGGCUCUCUGUGAGCUCAACGUUUAGAUUUUCUCUGUAUGGUUUGUACCCUGAAUAAUCUAGAUAAUUGUAAAAUGUAGACACGGUUUUGCAUUGAAUGAUUCCAGGAUUUUAGUUUUAAAGUUGUUGUACAUGGUAGUUUGGUUCUUCGUAUGGUUUUGAGUGAUUAUAACUUGUACACACUGGGUGCAUAAUAAUGUAAUGUUACAUUGAAUAGUAUUAAUGACCAACAGCAACAAACAGAUCUCCUCAAGGUAAGUCUGUUGGCUGUAUUUUAAUGAAGAUCAUCGCUGGACUUCAGGAUCUUCCUCCGUUCAGCUCAAGGUGAGGCGCUGGUUAUUUUUCUUUGGUUGGUUCCGGCCGGAAUGUUCGGAUUCCAGUCGGACGGUUUGUGCUUCCCGCCGUGGAAGGUUCUGAGUGCGGUCACUUGAUUUUAGUCCCAAUGGUUAGCAUAGAAAGUUGUAGUCUUGACAACCAUAAGAAACCACCUGGCAGUUAGUUGGACACGAACGUCGUACAAUAUGUUAAUUUUCGAUGUUUGCGCCGUACUUUUAACCACGUUGACGGGACUCUCGCUGCGUACAAUACGGCGUUCUACUUGCGGCCCAAUUUUUGACCUCGGUGAAGGCUGAAAAUUAUUUCAAGGUGGAAGACAAUUUGACAUUUCUUCAAAGGAACCCAGCACCUGAAUAUGAGUUGAGUAAAUUUGAUUUAAUAUUGAUACUGCUUAGUGUUCAUUGUUACUUCACCUUUUGUACGUUCUAAAUAUAUGCUGUCAUUAAUUGCCACAGAAGUUAAACCCUACCCAAUAGAAUGACGUAAAUCAACGACUUUGAUGCAGAGUUACCAACUGGAUAAUAUCAAAGCUAAAAUAAUGGCCGUCAUUUCCACAUGUUGCAGUAGAAGAUACUCUAGAACUGUAGAAGGUUAAAAAAGGUAAAAUGUAGUUUGUCCCAUGGUGUCUGCCUCCUCACCCAGAGCAAGACCUCCACCUCCUUACCCAGAGCCAGACCUCCACCUCCUGUCAGAAGUCCUCCAGAACAGCUCAAAGGUGAGGCUGAGAGGCUUGGGACCGGAGGCUUGUGGUGCCAGGAUGGACCGGAGACUGAGGCUGGAGACCAGGGGCCUGCAGCACCGGACCAGAGGACCAGGAAUCCAUGGCUGAAGGAGCUGAUGGAGGAGCCGCGCUGAAGGCCCUGCCUGGUGGAGGAGCUGAUGGAGCUCCUGCCUUGUGGAGGAGCCGUGCUGAAGGCCCUGCCUGGUGGAGUAGCUGACGGAGGCCCUGCCUGGUGGAGGAUGUCUGUCGUGGGGACACUGGUUUGGAGGAGAGCUGAUGGAGGAGCUGAUGGAGGAGCUGAUGGAGGAGUUGAUGGAGGAGCUGAUGGAGAGCAGAUGGAGGACAACUGGGAAUCGACCAACAAGGAUUCCUAAACGUGCUUCUGGAGCGGAGGCCAGCUGAUAGGGGAGCCGUGAAUCUGGAGGAUGACGUCACUCUACCAAUAAGGAUUACCAGGACUCUGGCUGAGGAGAGCUGAUGGAGGAGCCAUAAAACCAGGAAUCUGGAGGACUGACGGAGAAGCCGUACAUCUGGAAGGCAAAUCCUGAGGACGAUCAGGACUCUACCAUCAAGGAUUCCUCACCAGGUAUCCAUGGCUGAAGGAGCUGAUGGUGGAGCCGUGCUGGAGGCCCUGCCUGGUGGAUGAGCCGUGCUGGAGGCCCUGCCUGGUGGAUGAGCCGUGCUGGAGGCCCUGCCUGGUGGAGGAGCCGUGCUGACGGCCCUGCCUGGUGGAGGAGCCGUGCUGACGGCCCUGCCUGGUGGAGGAUGUCUUUCGUGGGACCAGGACUCUGUCUGAGGAGAGCAGAUGGAGGAGCUGAGACGCUGGAGGACAACUGGGAAUCGACCAACAAGGAUUCCUCACCAAGAAUCUGGAGGACUGACGGAGAAGCCGUACAUCUGGAAGGCAAAUCCUGAGGACGAUCAGGACUCUACCAUCAAGGAUUCCUCACACACCUGAGCUGAACCUCACCUGAUCCUGUUUGGUCGGGGGCAGACGCACCUGAGCUGAACCCCACCUGAUCCGGACAUCCUGCUGGUCCCGUCUCCUCAGUUCAUCUGAGCCUCUUCCUCCAGAAGACAUGCUGAGCUCAGCGGUCUGAGGCUGAUGUAUCAAUGACCUCCAGUGGGAGUGAUCUUCUUGACCCCACAUGUAGCCGUGUGCUUCCACACGCCUUUCCCUCAUGUCUGUCACUAACCUCAUUACUUCACUACUCUCUACUCCUUCCCCUUCUUCCUUCUCCGUGGUUCGAACCUUUAAUCUGAAGGAGUGUCUCCUUGAACCUUUACACUGAAGGAGCGUCUUCCUGCCCUCAGAGGGUUCAGCGUUAGGGUUGAGAGUCAGGGUUUAGAGUCAGGGACAGAGCUGGUCAGGGAGGGCUGGUUUUACAUAAACCUUUUCACUUGCUUUCUGAAUGGUGGUGACAUUUUGAAAAGAUUAAUUUGGGAAAAUGUUUUCCUCUGCUUUCCUUUACAAAAAUAUGUAUUCAACUUCUGUGUUUGUAACCAGACCAGGUAUCCAUGGCUGAAGGAGCUGAUGGUGAAAGAGCUGGUGGAGGAGCCGUGCUGACGGCCCUGCCUGGUGGAGGAGCCGUGCUGACGGCCCUGCCUGGUGGAGGAGCCGUGCUGACGGCCCUGCCUGGUGGAGGAGCCGUGCUGACGGCCCUGCCUGGUGGAGGAGCCGUGCUGACGGCCCUGCCUGGUGGAGGAGCCGUGCUGACGGCUCUGCCUGGUGGAGGAUGUCUGUCGUGGGACCAGGACUCUGUCUGAGGAGAGCAGAUGGAGGAGCUGAGACGCUGGAGGACAACUAGGAAUCGACCAACAAGGAUUCCUCAACGUGUUUCUGUAGCGGAGGCCAGCUGGUAGGGGAGCCGUGAAUCUGGAGGAUGACCAUCACUCUACCAACAAGGAUUACUUUAGGGCCAGACUCGCGCUGUUUGUUCCAGACCAGGACUCUGGCUGAGGAGAGCUGAUGGAGCCAAGACUCUGGAGGACGACAUCACUCCACCAACCAGGAUCCUCAGACGAAUUACGUUUGUAACCAGACCAGGAAUCUGGAAGACUGUUGGAGGAGCCGUACAUCUGGAAGGCAAAUCCUGAGGCCCAGCAGGACUCUACCAUCAAGGAUUCCUCAUAAGUUUGCAUUAUCUGGACAUAGUGGACUAGACACACCUGAGCUGAACCUCACCUGAUCCUGUUUGGUCGGGGGUUGACACACCUGAGCUAAACCCACCCUGAUCCUGACAUCCUGCUUGUCCCGUCUCCUCAGUUCUCCUGAGCCUCGUCCUCCAGAAGACCUGCUGAGCUCAGCAGUCUGAGGCUGAUGGAUCAAUGACCUCCAGUGGGAGGGAUCUUCUUGACCCCACUUGUAACCGUGUGCUUCCACACGCCUUUCCCUCACAUCUGUCACUAACCUCACUACUUCACUACUCUCUACUGCUUCCUCUUUUCUUCCUUCUCUGUGGUUUAAACCUUUAUACUGAAGGCGCGUCUUCCUGCCCUCAGAGGGUUUAGCAUUAGGGUUGAGAGUCAGGGUUUAGAGUCAGGGACAGAGCUGGUCAGGGAGGACUGCUUUCACACAAACCUCUUGACUUGCUUUCGGAAUGGUGGUGACAUUUUGAAAAGAUUCAUUUGGUAAAAUCUUUUCCUCUGCUUCCCUUUACAAAAUUGUAUCAAACUUCUGUCAAGUGUUUUUGUUUAAAUAUUAAAAUCCCACAUUGACUUCUACAUGUUUGGUGCGGUUCAUUUAAUUGUCCUUUAACUUGGUUAAUGUCAAGCUAAACUCCUGCAAUACAUUAAUAGCCAUGAUUGUUAUUUGGCAAUGUUCACAUAAUCCAUUUUGUAAAAAUAUGAAACCCCAAUAUUGCUA
ensembl:lncRNA